UGCGGAUGAACCACAUCUAAACAUCCACCGUUGAAUGCGGGUGGGAGAGUUCCGCCACAGAUGCUACUUACGUAUAUGCGUUUCCGUCUAGCUCACCGUCCCCCCCCCUCCCCCUCCCUUUCUUUCUGACAGGUAUUGGGGACGGUAACCAUUCACACACCCCGCACCCCCAUCGCGUUGGUUAGAUUCUACCGAUACCACCUUUCGAUGCUUUAUCCACACCAUCCACCCUCCCAAGCCGUCGAAGCUACCCGAAAGAUCCAAAGAUCCAAAGAAAAGACCCGACGAGAGACAAUGCAGUUUCCAACCCGACUUCGAUCCCGCGCCCGCCUCCCACCACCGGCCCUACCUCGACCAUCGCCCGUCUGUUUCUCCCGAUGCAAUUCUGGAGAUGCGGUUGGCGCAGUUGGUCGGUAAGCGCAUUGGCACGAGGUAGUCCGCAGACGGCUUUAAAGCGGUGCUGGACGAUCCUAACCCUAAGUUGAUUCAUGCAGAAGUCGACCCGAGGAUUGGAGUGGUAUUCUACACACAAUGUAGCAUACCCUGUUACUCGUUGCUCUGCCAUGUCGAGUUUGUACACUCUUCCCAGCACUCGACUAUCCGUCUAGCGGUGUCGGGUGGUCUGUCCUUUGAUAAGGAUUUGGGAGUUGCACUUUUCGACAAGUAUACCUUGGUUUGGCACGCUGGACUGUGUCGGGUAUGCGGUGUUUUUGUUCAGUUCUUCUUGUCACCGUUGCCUCUUCGGAGGUGGAACGAUAACGAAGAAUGGAAACCCAUUGUCUCUCCUCUCUCGUCGUUCUUUCAUCCUUGCUUCUUUCGUUCUUUCUAGCAUCGUUCCGAAGCGGGUUCUGGGUGGACAUGGAUAAAGAACCACAUAUCACUCGGUCUGAUCCACCACGUUUCUAUUUCCAAUCCCUCGAUAUUCAUCCCUUCCAACGGUAGCCGAUAGUUUGGUGGGGGUUGGGCGAUGUAUACACCACUCUACGGAGGCAAAGACCCAUCCCCUGUCCACACAUGCCGCACCGCUUCGUGGCGACUCUUUCUGAAUGGUGUGUGUGUUUUCCGUUGCGUACGCAAUGUGUGGAAACUCACCCCCAAUCACAAAGUCUGCCCCGCAGAUCAAUGCGCAAGUGUGGAUAGAAGAUUCGUCCGAGUGUGAUAGAGCUUAGUGCUCGACUCAUCCCCCUCCCCACCUCCGAAUCUUGGGUUUACCGUUUGGAGUGGGCCAUAUCGAGAUGGAAAGAUGCGGACGGGUUUUAAUUUUUCUUUCCCCCCCUCCC
rnacentral:telomerase_RNA from 1 species